GACCCAGUGGUGGAUGGACCACACCUGCUCCUUAUCUGGUGAAAGGAAAGUUGUAGCAGAAGGCUCUGGUUUGAUUCCGGGCUGGGUCA